rnacentral:rRNA from 1 species
AUAAUAAUUUGUCUUUUAAUUGAAGGCUGGAAUGAAAGAUUGAAUGAGGUAUUAACUGUCUCAUUAAAAAUAAUUUUUUAAUUUAAUUUUUAAGUCAAAAAGCUUAAAUUUUAUUAUAGGACGAGAAGACCCUAUAGAAUUUAAUAAUUUAUUUUUAUAAUAUUUUAAAAUUAAUUUUUUUAAAAAUAAAUUAUUUUGUUGGGGCGAUAAGAAAAUUUAAUAAACUUUUAUAAAUUAAUAAAUUUUUACAUAAAUUAAUGAUUUUUUGAUCCUAAAAUUUAGAUUAUUAGAAUAAAUUACCUUAGGGAUAACAGCGUUAUUUUUUUUAAAAGUUCAUAUUUAUAAAGAAGAUUGC